CAUGAGUGUGCCACUUCCUGAUGGGCCCAGCCCCAGAUCACAACAGUCCACACAGACCGCAUUCAAGCCCUGGUUGAAGAGAAGUCAAAGUAGGAGCUGACUCCAGUGACGUUAAGCAGCUGUCGCAGAAAUAGGAGAAAAGAGGCGAAAAGAUUCACUGUCACCAAAUCACAGUGGCUGGGAAAACACCUGGAUCCUCCACUUCUACAACAUUUAUGGAGAAUCUGUUACAUCUCAUCCCUGUUAAGUCCAGACAUGACGCUCAGGAGAGGCUAGAUCCUUUCCCUCAAGGACUAACCAUCUGUGGGGGAGAGAGUCACAAAACAGAUUCCCAAACAAGCAUUUUGUUACAAGUAAGUCACAAGUGCUUGACUCCCAGUAGAGGGAUAAAGGAGUCUGAUACGGUGUUCAGGAAGACUAGCUGUUGACAGCUGUAGUUGAAGAGGCAUGGAGGCUGAAGUACCAGAUUGUGGAUCACUUGAUGAUCUUUGGACGUCUAAUUAUGACCACCUAUGUCACAAGCUGUUGAAAGGCUCACCUGUGACCACCCAGCUGGAGACAACAGACUGCCACCCCGCUGUGUUCACUGAGACAGAAGACCUACCUGCUGUUUCCAUCAAUCGCUGUGUCGACAGAGCUGUCUUGCGACUAUUGUAAAAAGGACAUUUCAAUCCUAUGUGAAACAUCCUCUCUGGGAGUAUAUAACCACUCUGUGUACCCACUUCUUUGGUGCCCUUUCUUCCUUCAGGAAGAAAGGCCCCGGGCCAUGGUCCUCAGAUUUCAGCUCAG
rnacentral:lncRNA from 1 species